rnacentral:rRNA from 1 species
CCUACCAUGCAGUCGAACGGAGAUUACUUCGGUAAUCUUAGUGGCGAACGGGUGAGUAACGCGUGGGCAACCUGCCCUCUAGAUGGGGACAACAUCCCGAAAGGGGUGCUAAUACCGAAUGUGACAGCAAUCUCGCAUGAGGAUGCUGUGAAAGAUGGCCUCUAUUUAUAAGCUAUCGCUAGAGGAUGGGCCUGCGUCUGAUUAGCUAGUUGGUGGGGUAACGGCCUACCAAGGCGAUGAUCAGUAGCCGGUCUGAGAGGAUGAACGGCCACAUUGGGACUGAGACACGGCCCAGACUCCUACGGGAGGCAGCAGUGGGGAAUCUUCCGCAAUGGGCGAAAGCCUGACGGAGCAAUGCCGCGUGAGUGAUGAAGGAAUUCGUUCCGUAAAGCUCUUUUGUUUAUGACGAAUGUGCAGGUUGUGAAUAAUGACUUGUAAUGACGGUAGUAAACGAAUAAGCCACGGCUAACUACGUGCCAGCAGCCGCGGUAAUACGUAGGUGGCGAGCGUUGUCCGGAAUUAUUGGGCGUAAAGAGCAUGUAGGCGGUUUUUUAAGUCUGGAGUGAAAAUGCGGGGCUCAACCCCGUAUGGCUCUGGAUACUGGAAGACUUGAGUGCAGGAGAGGAAAGGGGAAUUCCCAGUGUAGCGGUGAAAUGCGUAGAUAUUGGGAGGAACACCAGUGGCGAAGGCGCCUUUCUGGACUGUGUCUGACGCUGAGAUGCGAAAGCCAGGGUAGCGAACGGGAUUAGAUACCCCGGGUAGUCCUGGCCGUAAACGAUGGGUACUAGGUGUAGGAGGUAUCGACCCCUU